UAAAUUAAUUGAUAAAAAUUAUAAAUAUUCCCAUAUACCAUGAAAAAGAGCUUAAAAUACAUUAAUACAAAUGUAGAAUGUGGUUAGAAAUUUUAAAACAACACUAAAGAUUAUAGGCUUCAAUAUAUAAAGUAUUUACCAAAAACUCAAUAUUUUCGAAGGGGUUAACACAUGGAUUUUGAGAAAAUUUCAUAAAAUAUGACACUAUGGUUUUAAUGCGUAGUUUCAUCCUGCACUAACCUAUGAUGAUGUUCAAAGAGAUUUGAAGCCUUUGUUGUCUCCGUUU